rnacentral:rRNA from 1 species
UACGUAGGUGGCAAGCGUUAUCCGGAAUUAUUGGGCGUAAAGAGCGCGCAGGUGGUUAAUUAAGUCUGAUGUGAAAGCCCACGGCUUAACCGUGGAGGGUCAUUGGAAACUGGUUGACUUGAGUGCAGAAGAGGGGAGUGGAAUUCCAUGUGUAGCGGUGAAAUGCGUAGAGAUAUGGAGGAACACCAGUGGCGAAGGCGGCUUCCUGGUCUGCAACUGACACUGAGGCGCGAAAGCGUGGGGAGCAAAUAGG